rnacentral:lncRNA from 1 species
CCAUCUCCAGCAGCAAGGCGGAGUCGUGGCUCCUAACAACAUACCUUGAUGAUGAUCUUCGGAUCUCGAGAGGAGACCGUGGCAGUAUAUUUGUCCUCAUCAAGGAAGGCAGCGCCCUUCUGUCUCCAUAGGCAUAUCACUUAUUUUCCUGUAGAAUUGUGUGUAAUAAUGCAGGUGACUUAAUAGUUAAUACUGGUUAUAACUGCAUUGACAUGUACCAGAUUUAAAAGUGAACAAGAACUUCAAGGUUUUGCUAUGUAAUCAAUAAUACGCAUGCAGAAUUGCGAUAUGUAAUCUUCAACAAAUUUUCAUUUUUGAUGUUAGGCCAUUUUGUAGAAAAGGUUGACGUUGGACUAGUAGGCCUAAAAUUCUCUAUUUUAUCCUCCUUAGCCCAAAAUUGGUUACGCCAUUAGCCCACAGUUACAAUAAGAACAAGCCCAAAAAUGAAAGAUGAUGGAAACGGAAUCAAAUCAUUUGUAAACUCGAAUAUGCUUUCAGCAUUUUAGUAAAAUCCACCAACCACGGUCCAUAACCAGAACAAAGGAAAUAAUUAAAGAUAAUUCGAUAACAAGUUGUAGAAUGAUGUUAUUUUGCACUACUUUUAUGAGUACUAGUUUAGAAGUGAUUGGAUAUCAUAAAUGUGAUUUAUUUUUCUACUGUUAAAGUGAUUUAUACUUAGUUAUAUAUCAUUUAGACAGGCGAUUACCAUUGGCAAUGUUAAGUUCCUAUUUGGCCAACAUUAUUUGAGAUUAUAAUUUUUGGAGUAUUGUUUUUUGAAAAAUGUGUAAUUAAAAAUGAGAAAAAAUUUGAAUUCGUGUUUAAUAUUAUUUUAUUAAAAAAUGUAUGAUAAAUAAAAAGAGAGAACAAAUAGAUUAUAAUUUUAUCGGAAGUGAAAUGGGCGCUGAAUAGCAUUAGUUGUAUGGAAAAGUGGGAGUUAGGUAGAAAAAUUAAAUUACCAAAACACCCCUACGCACAACAACUUCGCUGAAGGCGGAGCUUCCGAAGGACUACUUUGCCCUUUCUCCCUCAACUACGAGUUAGAUAGUGAAAGAAAA